rnacentral:rRNA from 1 species
GAUGAACGCUGGCGGCGUGCCUAAUACAUGCAAGUCGAGCGAACAGACGAGGAGCUUGCUCCUCUGACGUUAGCGGCGGACGGGUGUGUAACACGUGGAACAUCUCCCUAUAAGACUGGGAUCACUACGGGACACCGGCGCUAAUCCCGGAUAAUCUACUGAACCGUAUGGUUCAAUAGUGAGAGACGGUUUUGCUGUCAGUUAUCGAUGGAUCUCGGCCGCAUUAGCUAGUUGGUAAGGUAACGGCUUUCCAAGGCAACGAUGCGUAGCCGACCUGUGAGGGUGGUCGCCCACACGGGAGCUGAGACGCGGACCAUGGGACUACGAGAGGCAGCAGUAGGGAAUCGGCCGCAAUGGGCGAGAGCCUGACGGAGCAACGCCGCGUGUGAGGCAAAGGUGUUCGGAUCGGAAAACUGUGUUAUGAGGGAAGAACAGAUGUGUAAGUAACUGUGCACGGCGUGACGGUACCGAAUCAGAAAGCCACGGCUAACUACGUG